rnacentral:rRNA from 1 species
GAUGAACGCUGGCGGCGUGCCUAAUACAUGCAAGUCGAGCGAACGGACGAGAAGCUUGCUUCUCUGAUGUUAGCGGCGGACGGGUGAGUAACACGUGGAUAACCUACCUAUAAGACUGGGAUAACUUCGGGAAACCGGAUCUAAUACCGGAUGAUAUUUUGAACCGCAUGGUUCAAAAGUGAAAGACGGUCUUUCUGUCACUUAUAGAUGGAUCCGCGCUGCAUUAGCUAGUUGGUAAGGUAACGGCUUACCAAGGCAACGAUGCAUAGCCGACCUGAGAGGGUGAUCGGCCACACUGGAACUGAGACACGGUCCAGACUCCUACGGGAGGCAGCAGUAGGGAAUCUUCAGCAAUGGGCGAAAGCCUGACGGAGCAACGCCGCGUGAGUGAUGAAGGUCUUCGGAUCGUAAAACUCUGUUAUUAGGGAAGAACAUAUGUGUAAGUAACUGUGCACAUAUUGACGGUACCUAAUCAGAAAGCCACGGCUAACUACGUG